rnacentral:rRNA from 1 species
GACGAACGCUGGCGGCGUGCUUAACACAUGCAAGUCGAACGAAGUGGCGAACGGGUGAGUAACGCGUACUCCACCUGCCCUUCAGAGGGGGACAACAGUUGGAACCGACUGCUAAUACCGCAUACUGAAGGAGUGGCUUGCGUCUGGUUAGCUCGUUGGAGGGGUAACGGCCCAACAAGGCGAUGAUCAGUAGCCGGGCUGAGAGGAGUGACGGGCAAAUUGGGACUUGGAAACGGCCCAGACUACUACGGGAGGCAGCAGUGGGGAAUCUUCCGCAAUGGAAGAAAGGCUGACGGAGCAACGCCGCGGGAGGGAUGACGGCCUUCGGGGUGUAAAGCUCUGUUAAUCGGGACGCGGUACCGGAAUAGAAAGCCACGGCUAACUACGUGCCAGCAGCCGCGGUAAUUC